rnacentral:lncRNA from 1 species
UAACACAGUGCAUUUCUAGACCAUUUAAUGAUGAAACACAUACCAAACUAACAGGUGUUCAGAAAAUUUUAACAAUUGUGAUAUUUGGCAAUGUUAAAAUUACUUUCCUGUUAGUAAUUACGAUUAGGUAUCUGUAGAAGUAGCUGCAUGUCAAUUUUCCAAAUAGACAAUUAGUUGGCAAAUUGGCCUUUUUUUUGCAAUACACACACAAAAAUAACAAAAAGGCCUCUCUUCACAUAAUUAUGUUAUCUGAGAGGACCUGAAAAAGAAUUUCUUAAGGUAAAAAGUUGGCCCAUGAACCACUAUUUCUGGACAAAUAUGACUCAGUUUACUCCUUUGUAGGAGUGAAUAUUCUGGGUGGAAUUGGCAUUUAUUAUCAUUAUCACUGUACCGAUAAUCAGAACAAUGGAGUCCAUAUUACCUUCUUUAUUGACCAGGUAUUACCUUGCUUCUUAGUUUUCCCAUAGAUAAAACUGCAUCUGGUGAUAGUGAGCGAUAUUUAACCACCUGGCAAAUGUUAAAUAUUUGCUUUAGGCACAAUAAAAACCUUAGUGUUAUUGACAGUACUAUUUCAUGCUAUAUUACUAUUUAAACAUCCCCCACACCUCUCUGACAUAUGCCUUUUGAUUUACCCAUGUGACAGUUAAUAUUGAGUGUCAACUUGGUUGGAUUGAAGGAUGCAAAGUAUUGAUCCUGGGUGUGUCUGUGAGGGUGUUGCCAAAGGAGAUCAGCAUUUGAGCUAGUGGACUGGGAGAGGCAGUCACACCCUCGAUCUCAGUGGGCACCAUCUAAUCAGCUCCCAGCAUAAAAGCAGGGAUGGAAAAGGCAGAUUUAAAGAGUUUUUCGGCCUCCAUCUUUCUCCCAUGCUGGAUGCUUCCUGCCCUCGAACGUCGGACUCCAAGUUCUUCAGCUUUUGGACUUUUGGACUUACAGCAGUGGUUUGCCAGGGGCUCUCGGACCUUCGACCAAGGACUGAAAGCUGCACUGUUGGUUUUCCCAUUUUUGAGGUAUUGGGACUCAGACUGGCUUCCUUGCUCCCCAGCUUGCAGAUGGCCUAUUGUGGAACUUCACUUUGUGAUCAUGUUUAAGAGCCUGCCCCCCAAAGGGAGACCUGAAAUAUUCCAGAACUGAUUUUACCAGGUAAUAAUUCUGUCUAAUUUUACAGCUCAGUAUUAGCAAAUUAUCAGUGCUAAGUUUAUAACUUUCUCAUCUUUAUUAGUUUUAAUAUUGGCAUUUUGAUCUCCAGAGUUUGUCUGACUUCUUUAUCUCAGUUGAUACCCAAGAAGGAAUCUUCAGUGGGGAAAAGAGGGAUGUUACUUUUUAACUCCUAUAAAACCCAGAAAUAGAAUUUUGUUUUAAUUUAAUAGUCAAACAUUAUAAAGUAUGUCAAAACUUUUUUCAUCUGUUGGAGGAGGAGUAAUGAACGUGACCUACAUACUGUUAUGAGAAUUAAUUGUAAUAACAUAUACAGUGCAUUCUCAACAGGAGUGCUAGCAUCCUCUUUAGCAUACACUGCUCAGAAUUUCACUAGUCAGUGUGGCUGCCAGAGGGAGAGGUUGUCAUUGCAGCACUGUCCCAGCUAGGAGGCAGAGCCUAAGAAAGGAAGCUGUAGAGUUCUGGGCAAGACAGUCUUCCAGAGGUGGUUCAGAGAAUCUCCCAAAAUCACAAACCAAGUCUAGAUUCUUCUCAAGAGGUAAGAGGUGGCCUGAUUGGAGGAAGUGGACCUUCAAUGGUGUGUUAGAAGGUAAGAGGCGAGGGAGUCAGUAGACCAAGGUAAUGUUUAAGAAAGCUGUUCAAAUAUCAAAGGGGAAACUUGGAGUGAUGAUAAUAACUGCUGUUUAUGGAGAACAUGUAGUAAGCACUUUACAUCCAUUAUUUAGUUUUGCAGAUUAGGAGCUCUUGUAUGUUGGCUGUUUCCUUGAGAAGAACAUGCCCAGGGUAGCAGGUGUUCUCAGAUAAGCUGAUCCCACUGCUAAGCCACAGGCUGCUGAGAAAUAAUCAAUAAUAAAUGACCCUCGUGCUAAGUCAUAGAGUUGUGAGGUGGCUUAUUAUGCAGUAAUAGCUAAUUGAUGUAGAAGUUUGUCAAUCAUCAUUUAAUAAUCAAAGUAAUUUGUCUAAAGUAAUAAAGCUAGUGAGUGGCAGAGCUGGGAUUCACAUUCAGAUGUUUUCACCACAAUGACUGUUUUUUUUUUUUUUUUUAACCUCUGCACGAGGACACUAGACUAUAAUAUGAAAUACAAUUUGUACUUGAAGUUCAUCUUAGGUGCAAAGCAGAGGUUUCUCAAGCAUUCCAGAGAUGCAGAAAAACAGACAUAUGGAUUCCCUAGGAACUAACAUUGUAAGCUCAAUGAGGACAGAAACAGAUCUUCCUUGUUCCUUGUUUUGUCCUCAGCAGCUAGCACAAAGCUUGCAGAGUAAGUGUCCAAUAAACCCUUGAAUGAAUGAAUUAUAAAAUUCACUAUAUCAUUUCUACUUUUUUGUGUCUUUCAAUGAAAGUGGGGAAGUCCAUUAAAUAAAGGUAUAACUUAAGACAUAACAAAAAUUACAAAUAUUAUCAGAUUAUGAAAUACUAAAAAAAUUCUCAAGAAUCUUCCAGAAAAAAUUACAUUGUUUGCAAAGUCAGGUCUCACUUUGGUGAAGUCCUUGGAAAUGAAAUUACUCUUUCCCAGUGGACUUCUCUGUAAAUACCAAUGUUACCAUCUGAAUUACCGUCUGGUUACUGUCUAAGUUAUGUUGCAUGAAGAUGUUGGUGGGUUUGUUAAUGUUGGACUUCUUUGGAGCAGAUGGAAGUGUUGUUUCAAACAGUGUUUUCUUUUCCAUUCUGUCACCAAAAAUUAUCUGCCUUAAUUUUUAUACUGAGUCCUAAUUGCCAUUGUAUCUUUGAUUUCAAUUAUCACAGAAGACAAAAGAAAGUGCUAAACAAAAGUUAAGUGAAAUUGAGGAUUUGUUGAUUUUUUAUGUUUUCUAUUUAUGUGUCCCCUGCCCCUACUCUUCCUGGGAAAUCCUAAGAAUCAAAGUAAUUUGACUUCAUAAUGGGUUUUGAUGCCACAUAGCUGUUUUAAGCUAGUCAAGAUAGCUGGGUCUCAACUUCCUAAUUUCCUCAUCUAGGUAAUAAAAGUGUUGUACUGAAUUAUAUUCAAAGUUCUUUUUUUCUCCUAAAAAUCUAUGAUUCUAUGUAUGAGGGACCGCCAGAUAGGGAGAACUAC